rnacentral:rRNA from 1 species
AUACGGAAGGUCCGGGCGUUAUCCGGAUUUAUUGGGUUUAAAGGGAGCGCAGGCGGAGAUGCAAGCGUGACGUCAAAUUUCGGGGCUCAACCCCGUCUCGCGUCGCGAACUGCGUCCCUUGGUUGCGGGAAGGGGAGGCGGAACUCGUGGUGUAGCGGUGAAAUGCAUAGAUAUCACGAAGAACUCCGAUCGCGAAGGCAGCCUUCCGGCCCGUCAACGACGCUCAUGCUCGAAGGUGCGGGUAUCAAACAGGAUGAGAUACCCUGGUAGUCCGUACAGUAAACGAUGGACACCCGCGGUUUGGCCUGUAUGGCUGAGCCGCCAAGCGAAAGCGUUAAGUGUCCCACCUGGGGAGUACGCCGGCAACGGUGAAACUCAAAGGAAUUGACGGGG